rnacentral:sRNA from 1 species
GCGGGGGUGGUACUGCCGCAUCCGGGUGUCUGGAGGCCGUGGCCGUUUUGUUUUCUUGGCUGAAACCGGGGGAGUGAGGCGGGCCGGCGCGGCGCGACACCGGGCUCCGGAACCACUGCACGACGGGGCUGGACUGACCUGAAAAAAAUGUCUGGAUUUCUAGAGGGCUUGAGAUGCUCAGAAUGCAUUGACUGGGGGGAAAAGCGCAAUACUAUUGCUUCCAUUGCUGCUGGUGUACUAUUUUUUACAGGCUGGUGGAUUAUCAUAGAUGCAGCUGUUAUUUAUCCCACCAUGAAAGAUUUCAACCACUCAUACCAUGCCUGUGGUGUUAUAGCAACCAUAGCCUUCCUAAUGAUUAAUGCAGUAUCGAAUGGACAAGUCCGAGGUGAUAGUUACAGUGAAGGUUGUCUGGGUCAAACAGAAAAAGACAUAGUAUACCCUGGAAUUGCUGUAUUUUUCCAGAAUGCCUUCAUCUUUUUUGGAGGGCUGGUUUUUAAGUUUGGCCGCACUGAAGACUUAUGGCAGUGAACACAUCUGAUUUCCCACAGCACAACAGCCCUGCAUGGGUUUGUUUGUUUUUUUACUGCUCACUCCCAACCUUUUGUAAUGCCAUUUUCUAAACUUAUUUCUGAGUGUAGUCUCAGCUUAAAGUUGUGUAAUACUAAAAUCACGAGAACACCUAAACAACAACCAAAAAUCUAUUGUGGUAUGCACUUGAUUAACUUAUAAAAUGUUAAAGGAAACUUUCACAUGAAUAAUUUUUGUCAAAUUUUAUCAUGGUAUAAUUUGUAAAAAUAAAAAGAAAUUACAAAAGAAAUUAUGGAUUUGUCAAUGUAAGUGUUUGUCAUAUCUGAGGUCCAAAACCACAAUGAAAGUGCUCUGAAGAUUUAAUGUGUUUAUUCAAAUGUGGUCUCUUCUGUGUCAAAUGUUAAAUAUAAACAUUUUUUAGUUUUUAAAAUAUUUCAUGGUCAAAAUUCUUCCUCACUGUAAUUGGUAUUUACUUUUACCAAAAAUUCUGUGAACAUGUAAUGUAAGUGGCUUUUGAGAGUCUCCCAAGGGGUGAGUGGACGUGUUGGAAGAGAGAAGCACCAUGGUCC